rnacentral:rRNA from 1 species
UUUACUCCGAGGYCACCCCAACCAAAAGUAAUAGCAAGGUAAUACYGUGYCUUUAYUUCCYUYCSMGGYAUAUGUUGAAAUAUAUGKUUWAGACGAGAAGACCCUGUGGAACUUCAAGUAUUAACCAAUAUAUUUCAACAUAUACCUCGAAAGGAAAUAAAGACACAGUAUUACCUGGCUAUUACUUUUGGUDGGGGDGACCUCGGAGUAAAACAAAACCUCCGAAAAGAGUAUAUUCUCAUACCUAGAAUUACACCUCAAAGUGCCCUAAAGCAAAGAGAUCCAAUAUAUUUGAUCAACGAACAAAGCUACCCCAGGGAUAACAGCGCAAUCCCCUCUUAAAGUCCUUAUUGAUGAUGGGGGUUUACGACCUCGAUGUUGGAUCAGGACAUCCUAAUGGUGCAGCCGCUAUWAAGG